GACGAACGCUGGCGGCGUGCCUAAUACAUGCAAGUGGGACGCAAGGGAACACACUGUGCUUGCACACCGUGUUUUCUUGAGUCGCGAACGGGUGAGUAACGCGUAGGUAACCUGCCUAUUAGCGGGGGAUAACUAUUGGAAACGAUAGCUAAUACCGCAUAAUAUUAAUUAUUGCAUGAUAAUUGAUUGAAAGAUGAAGCGCAUCACUAGUAGAUGGACCUGCGUUGUAUUAGCUAGUUGGUAAGGUAAGAGCUUACCAAGGCGACGAUACAUAGCCGACCUGAGAGGGUGAUCGGCCACACUGGGACUGAGACACGGCCCAGACUCCUACGGGAGGCAGCAGUAGGGAAUCUUCGGCAAUGGACGAAAGUCUGACCGAGCAACGCCGCGUGAGUGAAGAAGGUUUUCGGAUCGUAAAGCUCUGUUGUAAGUCAAGAACGUGUGUGAGAGUGGAAAGUUCACACAGUGACGGAGCUACCAGAAAG
rnacentral:rRNA from 1 species